GUCAGUUGAUAAACACUGUUGCCUGAACACCCGCUGUGUGCAGAGACCUAGCAGAUACCCUGGUUGGGGCAGUGCUAAGGAUUCUGCCUUCUGGGAGCUCAUUUCCUGAGCAGAAUUCCCUCUUGGUACCUGGCCUGGCACCUGGUGCACAGAAGGCAUGAGUGCACAUCUGCUGAAGAGCUGAGGAACUGCGUGUGGAGUCAGCCCAGUCUGGAUGCACAGGAGGAUGCUGGCGGCACAGUGAGUGAGGCCUGGUGCCAGAGCUGUGCGGACCCCUUGUUGGCCAUGGAGCAGCAGGCCCAGAGGCCCUCUCCCCAGCCCUGCUUGCCUGCCUCGGAGAGGACAGAGGCCUAGGCCCACGGGGGAGGGUGUUGGCAGACAGAUGCCCUCCAGGCCCUGGGGCCUCCUUAACGGCCCCUUAACGACACGCGUGCCAAGGGUGGAGGAUGCCAGCCAAGGGGCGCUACUUCCUCAACGAGGGCGAGGAGGGCCCUGAC
rnacentral:lncRNA from 1 species